rnacentral:rRNA from 1 species
GAUGAACGCUGGCGGCGUGCCUAAUACAUGCAAGUCGAGCGAACAGGCCAGGAGCUUGCUGCUCUGACGUUAGCGGCAGGGGGGUGAGUAACACGUGUAUCCCCUCCCUGUCAUUGUGGUAUAACUUCGGGAAACGGGCGCUAAUAGCGUAGAAGAUCUUGAACCGCAGGGGGGGUUGGAGAAAGUCGGCGGUGCGGGCUGGUCUCGCGGGUUAUCAGCUGGUUGGGGGGGUAGUGGCGUACCAGGGCUUUGACGGGUAGCCGGCCUGAGAGGGUGACCGGCCACAUUGGGACUGAGAGACGGCCCAGACUCCUACGGGAGGCAGCAGUCGGGAGUAUUGCACAGUGGGCGGAAGCCUGAUACAGCAACGCCGCGUGCGGGAUGACGGCCUUCGGGUUGUAAACCGCUUUCGCCUGUGACGAAGCGUGAGUGACGGUAAUGGGUAAAGAAGCACCGGCUAACUACGUG